rnacentral:rRNA from 1 species
UUUCCUCCCGAGUGCUUGCACUCAAUUGGAAAGAGGAGUGGCGGACGGGUGAGUAACACGUGGGUAACCUACCCAUCAGAGGGGGAUAACACUUGGAAACAGGUGCUAAUACCGCAUAACAGUUUAUGCCGCAUGGCAUAAGAGUGAAAGGCGCUUUCGGGUGUC